rnacentral:rRNA from 1 species
GACGAACGCUGGCGGCGUGCUUAACACAUGCAAGUCGAACGGAAAGGCCCUGCUUUUGUGGGGUGCUCGAGUGGCGAACGGGUGAGUAACACGUGAGUAACCUGCCCUUGACUUUGGGAUAACUUCAGGAAACUGGGGCUAAUACCGGAUAGGAGCUCCUGCUGCAUGGUGGGGGUUGGAAAGUUUCGGCGGUUGGGGAUGGACUCGCGGCUUAUCAGCUUGUUGGUGGGGUAGUGGCUUACCAAGGCUUUGACGGGUAGCCGGCCUGAGAGGGUGACCGGCCACAUGGGGACUGAGAUACGGAGCAGAAGCGUAUGGGAGGCAGCAGGGGGGAAUAUGGCAGAAUGGGCGGAAGCCUGAGGCAGAAACGCCGCGAGCGGGAUGACGGCCUUCGGGUGGUAAACAGCUGUCGCCUGUGACGAAGCGAGAGUGACGGUAAUGGGUAAAGAAGCACCGGCUAACUACGUG